AGUGAACGCUGGCGGUAGGCCUAACACAUGCAAGUCGAACGGCAGCACAGUAAGAGCUUGCUCUUACGGGUGGCGAGUGGCGGACGGGUGAGGAAUACAUCGGAAUCUACUUUUUCGUGGGGGAUAACGUAGGGAAACUUACGCUAAUACCGCAUACGACCUACGGGUGAAAGCAGGGGAUCUUCGGACCUUGCGUGAUUGAAUGAGCCGAUGUCGGAUUAGCUAGUUGGCGGGGUAAAGGCCCACCAAGGCGACGAUCCGUAGCUGGUCUGAGAGGAUGAUCAGCCACACUGGAACUGAGACACGGUCCAGACUCCUACGGGAGGCAGCAGUGGGGAAUAUUGGACAAUGGGCGCAAGCCUGAUCCAGCCAUACCGCGUGGGUGGAGAAGGCCUUCGGGUUGUAAAGCCCUUUUGUUGGGAAAGAAAAGCAGCAGGUUAAUACCCCGCUGUUCUGACGGUACCCAAAGAAUAAGCACCGGCUAACUUCGUG
rnacentral:rRNA from 1 species